CAAGCCCGAGACCAGGCAUAGGCCUAAGCCCUCAGGUAACUGCCUGCUCGCCUCAGCACCUGCCUCUCUGUAUCCUGGCCAUCACAUCCCUCCAGGUCAAGUUCUAGGGCCUGAUUCCUGUCCCUACUGCUGCAUGUGAAGAUGGUCUCCACACAUCCUCAGGAUUGUCCCUAAUUGCCAGCACUCCCUCUGUAAUCAAAAGUCCUUGGGGAUUUCUGACUCUCUCUGUCAUACCCUAAGGAAUGUGAGCAUGAUCUCCCUCUACACUCACAAUAAACGAUGCACCUUG